rnacentral:tRNA from 1 species
AAGAUUUUAAGUUAAUUAAACUAUUAAUUUUCAAAAUUAAAUUCAAAGAACAUCUCUUUAAGUCUUA